rnacentral:rRNA from 1 species
UACGGGAGGCAGCAGUUAGGAAUAUUGGUCAAUGGCCGAGAGGCUGAACCAGCCAUGCCGCGUGCGGGAGGACGGCCCUAUGGGUUGUAAACCGCUUUUUUGUGGGAGCAAUAAGGGUCACGUGUGGCCUGAUGAGAGUACCAUGAGAAUAAGCAUCGGCUAA